GACGAACGCUGGCGGCGUGCUUAACACAUGCAAGUCGAACGAUGAACCCGGAGCUUGCUCUGGGGGACGAGUGGCGAAGGGGGGAGUAACACGCGAGGAACCUGCCCUUGACUCUGGGAUAAGCGUUGGAGACAACGGCGAAUACAGGAGAGGAUCUUGUAUAGCAUGAGCUGGGGUGGAAAGUGUUGUCGGUCUGGGAUGGACUCGCGGGAUCUCAGCGUGUUUGGGAGGUAAUGGAGCCACAAGGCUACGACGGGUAGCCGGCCUGCGAGGGUGCCCGGCCACGCUGCGGCUGACACACGGACCAGGCUCCUGCGUGUGGCCGCCGUGGGGCGUAUUGCUCAAUGGGCGAAAGCCUGAUGCAGAAACGGCGCGUGCGGGCGGAAGGCCUUCGGGUUGUGAACCGCUUUUAGUAGGGAAGAAGGGCUUCGGCUUGACGGUACCUGCAGAAAAAGGACCGGCUAACUACGUG
rnacentral:rRNA from 1 species